AAUUCUCAAAUCACAUCUUUUGUGUUGUGGCUUGGAUAGUUGGGUGUUGCCUGAUUAAAAUAAUUAGGCUCUCCUUAAAUGUAUAAGUGGUGCAUUUAGAAACUUGUUAGGUGUUGUAAAUUAUUAAUACAUCUAUGUUUCUGAAAUAUGCUGCUUCUAACCAAAAAUCUCUUUUUUGAUGA
rnacentral:misc_RNA from 1 species